CCCUACACCCAUGCAUAAUAAUACAUCGUAUAUACGUACGUACAUACAUACCCCUCUCGAUCACACGCACCAUCGAUCGUACAAAGUUGCGUACAUACAUACGUACACACAUAUACGCAUACGCACGUACAUACAUACAUAAUUAAAAACUCGUAAUUAAUUAAAUACGUAGUUGAUGGCAUCUCUAAUGGAACUUGAGGCUGGUGAGGAUGUUGUUGUGGACGGGAUCAGCGAGGUGAUCAAGCAGGUUCUGCACGGGGCCAACCCCGGUGAAGAGCGCCUGGACGGAGAAGCCGAGGAAGGCGAGCAUGGCGAGCCUGCCAUUCUUGAUCUCCUUGAGCUUGAGCUCCUUCAUCUCCGCCUCGCUCUUGGUCCCGAAGCCGAGCGGGUUGAAGAGCGGGCCGCCGGGGUAGGCCGGCUCGCCGGAGCCGGCGAGGUACUUCUCGAGGCCGAGGAAGUACUGCUUCCCCAUGGAGCCCGGCGUGUACCAGUCCUGGAAGCGGCGGUGCUCGGCGAAGCCGACGAGGGCGA
rnacentral:misc_RNA from 1 species